GGGUAUAUACUUCAGUGGUAGAACACGAUCCUGAGUCAGAUUGCCCCAUUUUAUCCCCCAUUCACUUCGAUGGCGAGAGCCGUUGGUUCAAUUCCAGCUGUACUCC